rnacentral:rRNA from 1 species
GACGAACGCUGGCGGCGUGCUUAACACAUGCAAGUCGAACGGAAAGGCGCUGCUUUUGUGGGGUGCUCGAUUGGCGAACGGGUGAGUAACACGUGAGUAACCUGCCCUUGACUUUGGGAGAACUUCAGGAAACUGGGGCUAAUACCGGAUAGGAGCUCCUGCUGCAUGGUGGGGGCUGGAAAGUUUCGGCGGUUGGGGAUGGUCUGGCGGCUUAUCAGCUUGUUGGUGGGGUAGUGGCGUACGAAGGGUUCGACGGAUAGCCGGCCUGAGAGGGUGGACGGCCACAAUGGGCCUGAGGUAGGGACCAGACUGCUACGGGAGGCAGUAGGGGGGAAUUUUGCACAAUGGGCGGAAGUGUGAGGCAGCAACGCCGCGUGCGUGAUGACGGGCUACGGGUGGUAAACCGAUGUCUCCGGUGACGAAGCGGGAGUGACGGUAAUGGGUCAAGAAGCACCGGCUAACUACGUG